GCUGCGCACUUCGGUCUUUUACGUCGGCCUUCGCGAGCGUCUGGGCGGGUGGUAGGAACAAUGGCGCUGUCUUCAGUGGCACAGUGGAGCAGCUCUGAAGAUGCAAAGGUAAGAGCUUAGUUAAGCUUAGUUUCCAAACUAAAGGAGUAAACCUGUUGAUUUACAGGAAUAGGAACUGUUGCAUCGUUUGAAAUUUACUUUUUUUUGUUAGAUACACGAAAAAACUUCCAGAACAUCUGGGAGAAUAUUUAAUGGAAAAUCGCUUGGUUAAAACCUGACACUUUUAACAGGUAUGUGUUGUUUUAGUACUUUAUGAUUGAGCAUAGCAUUUAAUCCACACCUAGACUAAAUCAAAUUUUUUUUGUCAGUGAACAGCGUUCUGAGUGUGGACGAGUAGCCAGUGAAGAUAAUGAAUGUCGAAUGUGACUGACUAGCAGCUUCAUUUUGAAUGAGGGUCGCUGUCUGCCCAUUGAUAGAGGCCAGAUUGUCUUGGAAGUUCCAAAGUUGCAACGAUUUCUGGCUAGUGCCACGAGGUUUACUUGACUGUUGUGUGAAAAGCUGAUAAGAAAACCAUCCAGAAAAAAGCUCUUCGUUUUACAAACAUGAAAAUAAAACAUGUAAUUUUGGAUUAUGUUCCUUUUUGUUAUUACUUUUAAAUAGGUCCUGAAAUAACAUGGGGAGCAUUAAAUGGAAAAUCCACUAA
rnacentral:lncRNA from 1 species